UCGAGCGGUAACAUUAUCUAGCUUGCUAGAUGAUGACGAGCGGCGGACGGGUGAGUAACGCGUAGGAAUCUACCCUGGAGCGGGGGAUAAGCCAUAGAAAUUUGGUCUAAUACCGCAUACGCCCUUCGGGGGAAAGCAGGGGCUCUUCCGACCUUGCACUAUUGGAUGAGCCUGCGUGAGAUUAUCUAGUUGGUGAGGUAAUGGCUCACCAAGGCGACUAUCUCUACCUGGUCUGAGAGGAUGAUCAGCCACACUGGGACUGAGACACGGCCCAGACUCCUACGGGAGGCAGCAAUGGGGAAUAUUGCACAAUGGGCGCAAGCCUGAUGCAGCCAUGCCGCGUGUGUGAAGAAGGCCCUAGGGUUGUAAAGCACUUUCAGUCGUGAGGAAAGGUGUGUGCUUAAUACGUACAUACUGUGACGUUAGCGACAGAAGAAGGACCGGCUAACUCCGUGCCAGCAGCCGCGGUAAUACGGAGGAGUCCUGAGCGUUAAUCGGAAUUACUGGGCGUAAAGCGCGCGUAGGUGGAUUGUCAGUCAGAUGUGAAAGACCAGGGCUCUACCUUGGAACUGCAUCUGAUACUGCUACUCUAGAAUACAGUAGAGGGUAGAUGGAAUUUCCUGUGUAGCGGUGAAAUGCGUAGAUAUAUGAAGGAACACCAGUGGCGAAGGGACUACCUGGACUGAUAUUGACACUGAGGUGCGAAAGCGUGGGGAGCAAACACGAUUAGAUACCCUGGUAGUCCACGCCGUAAACGAUGUGUACUAGCGUUGGAAGACUUGAUCUUUUAGUGGAGAAGCUAACGCGAUAAAUAGACCGCCUGGGGAGUACGCCCGCAAGGUUAAAACUCAAAUGAAUUGACGGGGGGCCGCACAAGCGGUGGAGCAUGUGGUUUAAUUCGACGCAACGCGAAGAACCUUUCCAACUCUUGACAUCCAGAGAAGAGGCUAGAGAUAGCUUUGUGCCUUUUGGAAAUCUGAGACAGGUGUUGCACGGCUGUGUUCAGCUCGUGUUGUGAAAUAUUGGGUUAAGUCCCGUAACGAGCGCACCCCUUGUCUUUAUUUGCCACCACGUAAUGGUGGGAACUCUAAGGAGACUGCCGGUGACAAACCGGAGGAAGGUGGGGACGACGUCAAGUCAUCAUGGCCCUUACGAGUUGGGCUACACACGUGCUACAAUGGCCGGUACAGAGGGAAGCAAACCUGCGAAGGUAAGCUAAUCUCACAAAACCGGUCGUAGUCCGGAUUGGAGUCUGCAACUCGACUCCAUGAAGUCGGAAUCGCUAGUAAUCGUGGAUCAGAAUGGUUGCGGUGAAUACGUUCCCGGGCCUUGUACACACCGCCCGUCACACCAUGGGAGUGGAGUUGCACACAAG
rnacentral:rRNA from 1 species